UACGUAGGGUGCGAGCGUUAAUCGGAAUUACUGGGCGUAAAGGGCGCGUAGGCGGCCUGCUAAGUCGAACGUGAAAUCCCUGGGCUCAACCCAGGAACUGCGUCCGAUACUGGUUGGCUUGAAUCCGGGAGAGGGUAGCGGAAUUCCCGGUGUAGUGGUGAAAUGCGUAGAUAUCGGAAGGAACACCAGUGGCGAAGGCGGCUACCUGGCCCAUUCUUGACGCUGAGGCACGAAAGCUAGGGUAGCAAACGGG
rnacentral:rRNA from 1 species